rnacentral:rRNA from 1 species
CGCCCGACUUCUAAGUCCAUCUUUUCCGUCCCUAGCCUGGGACUAGUCUUCCCUUGGGAACUGUCCCACCUCAACCCAGAGAUACGCUGCACCUCGAUCUGUCUUUUGUGGGCCCAUAGGCGCUCUAACUUGUUAGUUAAAAGCUAGACGACGGUAUACAUGCAUGCUCUAGGGGGUUAGCGGGUGGCAUCGUUUAAUGGGCAGGCUCCCCUAGUCAAUUAAGCUGCCGCCAAAUCCCUUGGGUUUAAAGCUUCUAUCUAUUACUACCCCCUAAACUUUACACCCUCUAUAGUGGGGUAUCUAAUCCCAGUUUA